AAGCGGUGGAGCAUGUGGUUUAAUUCGAAGCAACGCGAAGAACCUUACCAGGUCUUGACAUCCCUGACAACCCGAGAGAUCGGGCGUUCCCCUUCGGGGGACAGGGUGACAGGUGGUGCAUGGUUGUCGUCAGCUCGUGUCGUGAGAUGUUGGGUUAAGUCCCGCAACGAGCGCAACCCUCGACCUUAGUUGCCAGCAUUCAGUUGGGCACUCUAAGGUGACUGCCGGCUAAAAGUCGGAGAGGUGGGGAUGACGUCAAAUCAUCAUGCCCCUUAUGACCUGGGCUACACACGUGCUACAAUGGGCGGUACAAAGGGUCGCGAACCCGCGAGGGGGAGCCAAUCCCAAAAAGCCGCUCUCAGUUCGGAUUGCAGGCUGCAACUCGCCUGCAUGAAGCCGGAAUCGCUAGUAAUCGCGGAUCAGCAUGCCGCGGUGAGUACGUUCCCGGGCCUU
rnacentral:rRNA from 1 species